rnacentral:rRNA from 1 species
AACGAACGCUGGCGGCAUGCCUAACACAUGCAAGUCGAACGAGACCUUCGGGUCUAGUGGCGCACGGGUGCGUAACGCGUGGGAACCUGCCCUUAGGUUCGGAAUAACUCCCCGAAAGGGGUGUUAAUACCGGAUAAUGUCUUCGGACCAAAGAUUUAUCGCCUUUGGAUGGGCCCGCGUUGGAUUAGCUAGUUGGUAGGGUAAAAGCCUACCAAGGCGACGAUCCAUAGCUGGUCUGAGAGGAUGAUCAGCCACACUGGGACUGAGACACGGCCCAGACUCCUACGGGAGGCAGCAGUGGGGAAUAUUGGACAAUGGGCGAAAGCCUGAUCCAGCAAUGCCGCGUGAGUGAUGAAGGCCUUAGGGUUGUAAAGCUCUUUUACCCGGGAUGAUAAUGACAGUACCGGGAGAAUAAGCGCCGGCUAACUCCGUG